rnacentral:rRNA from 1 species
UAUUGGACAAUGGGGGAAACCCUGAUCCAGCGACGCCGCGUGAGUGAAGAAGUAUUUCGGUAUGUAAAGCUCUGUCAGCAGGGAAGAAAAAAAUGACGGUACCUGACCAAGAAGCCCCGGCUAACUACGUGCCCGCAGCCGCGGUAAUACGCAGGGGGCAAGCGUUAUCCGGAAUUACUGGGUGUAAAGGGAGCGGAGACGGUAAUGUAAGUCUGGAGUGAAAGGCGGGGGCCCAACCCCCGGACUGCUCGGGAAACUAUGUUACUGGAGUGCAGGAGAGGUAAGCGGAAUUCCUAGUGUAGCUGUGAAAUGCGUAGAUAUUAGGAGGAACACCAGUGGCGAAGGCGGCUUACGGGACUGUAACUGACGUUGAGGCUCGAAAGCGUGGGGAGCAAACAGGA